AGAUUGAACGCUGGCGGCAUGCUUUACACAUGCAAGUCGAACGGCAGCACGGGGGCAACCCUGGUGGCGAGUGGCGAACGGGUGAGUAAUGCAUCGGAACGUAUCUUUAAGUGGGGGAUAACGCAUCGAAAGAUGCGCUAAUACCGCAUAAAUCUCUGAGGAGAAAAGCAGGGGAUCGCAAGACCUUGCGCUUUUGGAGCGGCCGAUGUCUGAUUAGCUAGUUGGUGGGUAAAGCUUACCAAGGCUUCGAUCAGUAGCUGGUCUGAGAGGACGACCAGCCACACUGGGACUGAGACACGGCCCAGACU
rnacentral:rRNA from 1 species